UCAUGUACAAUCAAUAAUAUUUAUACUCUUCCAUAAAUUUCUGAUGAUCAUUUAUACAAAAAAAAAGAGCACAUCUAAAGAACAAAAAAAAAUUCAGAAGAACUGUUCUAGUGUUCUUAUCUUUUCUGAGUUUUUUUACAUCUCUCUCAAAGAAUGUUUCUCUCUCAAUUGUCAGACUAAAACUCUCUCUUCUUUCUCACACUAGCCCACUACAGUCUCUUUCAGUCUCAUUCGAAUCUCGUCUCAGUCACACUCGCCGACGUCUCCACGUGUCGCGGCCUUCCCUGGGAUCCUCGUCGCCGGCGACAGAAGCAACUCGUCGGGUCGUCGUCGCUCGUCGUCUUCUGCUUUCGCGACCUCGCCGUCGCCGAGUCGCCGUAGACCGUAGUCAGUUGGUAUUUCUAGAAAUUCUUUGCACAAGAGGCGCACCACUGGUGGAAAGAAGAAGGUUUGUAGUUUGGAGGAAGAAGAGAAAGUAUGCUUUCACUCUCUUUUUCAAUUCUCUGUUUU